GACGAACGCUGGCGGCGUGCUUAACACAUGCAAGUCGAACGGAAAGGCCCUGCUUUUGUGGGGUGCUCGAGUGGCGAACGGGUGAGUAACACGUGAGUAACCUGCCCUUGACUUUGGGAUAACUUCAGGAAACUGGGGCUAAUACCGGAUAGGAUCUCCUGCUGCAUGGUGGGGGUUGGAAAGUUUCGGCGGUUGGGGAUGGACUCGCGGCUUAUCAGCUUGUUGGUGGGGUAGUGGCUUACCAAGGCUUUGACGGGUAGCCGGCCUGAGAGGGUGACCGGCCACAUUGGGACUGAGAUACGGACCAGACCCCUACGGGAGGGAGCAGUGGGGAAUAGUGAACAAUGGGCGGAAGCCUGAUGCAGCAACGCCGCGUGCGGGAUGACGGCCUUCGGGUUGUAAACCGAUUUCGCCUGUGACGAAGCGUGAGUGACGGUAAUGGGUAAAGAAGCACCGGCUAACUACGUG
rnacentral:rRNA from 1 species